rnacentral:rRNA from 1 species
CCUACGGGAGGCAGCAGUGGGGAAUAUUGCACAAUGGGGGAAACCCUGAUGCAGCGACGCCGCGUGAGUGAAGAAGUAAUUCGUUAUGUACAGCUCUAUCAGCAGGGAAGAAAAUGACGGUACCUGAGUAAGAAGCCCCGUCUAACUACGUGCCAGCAGCCGCGGUAAUACGUAGGGGGCAAGCGUUAUCCGGAUUUACUGGGUGUAAAGGGAGCGUAGACGGCAUUGCAAGUCUGGAGUGAAAGGCGGGGGCUCAACCCCCGGACUGCUCUGGAAACUGUACGGCUUGAGUGCAGGAGAGGUAAGUGGAAUUCCUAGUGUAGCGGUGAAAUGCGUAGAUAUUAGGAGGAACACCAGUGGCGAAGGCGGCUUACUGGACUGUAACUGACGUUGAGGCUCGAAAGCGUGGGGAGCAAACAGGAUUAGAUACCCCAGUAGUC